UGCGUAGGUGGCCUUUUAAGUUGGAUGUGAAAUACCCGGGCUUAACUUGGGGGUGCAUCUAAUACUGGAGGGCUAGAGUGCAGGAGAGGGAAGCGGAAUUCCUAGUGUAGCGGUGAAAUGCGUAGAUAUUAGGAGGAACACCAGUGGCGAAGGCGGCUUUCUGGACUGUAACUGACACUGAGGCACGAAAGCGUGGAGAGCAAACA
rnacentral:rRNA from 1 species